rnacentral:lncRNA from 1 species
CCCCGCCGGCCCUGGUUGCGGGGGUGGAUCGGAGGGCGAGCUAGGCGGUGACGCGGGGCCCUCACGUGACCGGGAGCUGCAGAGCGACGCAGCUUUCGGUGCAGUCGUCACUCGUGUCUGGGUACCAGCUCCCCGCUGCCCUGCGAACGGCGGGCUGGCAUCGGGCCCGGGGGAAGCGGAGCAGACAGUAAUUCGGGGUGGCACUGUUCGCGGCAAGGCGAGGGAAGAAGGAAAGGAGACAACUGCACAGGAUCUGCGGAGGUCUUCCCAUAGGGCGGUAGUAGGGCUGUUUACCACUGAAAGCAAGGGAAAUUGGGAGACUGGCCUGGGACCAUGGAGGUUGGUCUACAGGUCUGAAAGGUUUGAGAUCACUGGAAGCAAAGAAACAAGAAGGAAAUUAUCCCUGAUCAGUAUAGACUGGUCCACAGAUCUCAUGAGUUUAUAG